rnacentral:rRNA from 1 species
CCAGACUCCUACGGGAGGCAGCAGUGGGGAAUAUUGCACAAUGGGGGAAACCCUGAUGCAGCGACGCCGCGUGAGUGAAGAAGUAUUUCGGUAUGUAAAGCUCUAUCAGCAGGGAAGAAAUAGCGACCUUUGGGUCGCCAGACGGUACCUGAUUAAGAAGCCCCGGCUAACUCCGUGCCAGCAGCCGCGGUAAUACGGAGGAUGCGAGCGUUAUCCGGAUUUAUUGGGUUUAAAGGGUGCGCAGGCGGAAUGUCAAGUCAGCGGUAAAAUUUCGGGGCUCAACCCCGUCGUGCCGUUGAAACUGGCGUUCUUGAGUGAGCGAGAAGUAUGCGGAAUGCGUGGUGUAGCGGUGAAAUGCAUAGAUAUCACGCAGAACUCCGAUUGCGAAGGCAGCAUACCGGCGCUCAACUGACGCUCAUGCACGAAAGCGUGGGUAUCGAACAGGAUUAGAUACCCCGGUAA